GGGGGCCUCUGUAAACAUGCACUUCUCUGGGUGCGUGCGACCGUGUGUGACCCCUGUGCGUCUGACUCAGGGCCAGCGGUCUUAUCAGCGCCCCAUGGGAUCGCUUUAGGAGAUGUUAUUACCACAUGCUGCCGUACACGUGACACACACACACACACACACACACACACACACACACACACACACACACACACACACACACACACACACACACACACACACACACACACACACACACACACACACGCGUGAUUGCUUGUGUGUGGGUAUGGAUGUGUGCAUGUAUGUACGUGUGUAUAUGUAUGUGUGUGUGUGUGUGUGUGUGAGCUCUUCAUUUCCCUACUAAUGCUCUGUUGUUCUGCCAGCUUAGGUGUGGUUGUGUUGUUAUCGCAGCCGCUUUCCUCCAGAGGGGAGAGAAGGAGGAGGAGGAGGGGGAGGAGGGGGGAGGAGGGAGGAGGGGGAGGAGGAGGAGGAGGAGGAGGAGGAGGAGGAGGAGGAGAGGGAGGAGGAGGAAACUCAUUACGAGAAAAUGUCCACAAUUCCAGGAGCUGAACUUUUCCAACCGACAUAAACAAAGUCACAUGGCAGCAAAGCUGAGGGGGCGGGAUCCAGGAAGUCCUGCCCUGGCUUAUCGACCAAUUGGGGAGGGGGGGUUGAAACUCGCCAACCAAUUGCAAGAGGCCUUGGGUCAUUUGAGACCAAUCAAUCCCUUAUCAUGUGGGAGGGUUCAGAAUCCUUAGAACCCGCCCCCUGGACAGCUGAACAACAACCAGCACACACGUGACGCCUCACCGGCCAGUGAGGAGCAGCCUGAAGAAACCCGUUUUACAUUUAGGGCACUUCAGCAGACGCUUUGUACAUAGCGACGUACGAGCGUACUCACAUUCUCCCACCUAAGGCAACCGGGCAACGCGACAGCCAGCGGCAGAGCAGUCAGGGGGAGGCGUGGCUCAGGGACACCUCGACACAGCUGGGAGGAGCAGUCAGGGGGAGGCGUGGCUCAGGGACACCUCGACACAGCUGGGAGGAGCAGUCAGGGGGAGGCGUGGCUCAGGGACACCUCGACACAGCUGGGAGGAGCCGGGGAUCCAACUAGCAACCCUCCGGCUACCAGUCAACAAGCGGUCCCUCACACACACACACACACACACACACACACACACACACACACACACACACACACACACACACACACACACACACACACACACACACACACACACACACACACACACACACACACACACACACACACAGGCUGAGCCGUGUUCUCUCAGUCCGAGGCCGACCAGAAGGAAUGUGUUGAGUCCCCUCCCCGGGAUCAGUAAACAGGGGCCCCGGCCAGGGUGGGAGGGUCUCAGACCGGCCCUCCACGGUGGGAGGGUCUCAGACCGGCCCCCCACGGUGGGAGGCUCUCUUUCUCCCAGGGAAGGCUUUCUCCCAGGGAAGGCUUUCUCCCAGGGAAGGCUUUCUCCCAGGUUGCAUCAUGGUCUUUGUCACCUUGCCUUGGCAGGCCCUGAAAGCGUCCACCGUACAAUAGGUGGAAGUUAUUCUGGCGGCCAGAUCCGCUGCCUGGAGUUUGGAUUCAAGCUGGAACAACCAGUGGAACACGAAGAAGGAAGCCCUGGCUUAACCAAUAAUAAAUACCAUGGACCAGGGUAUUUGUUAUUUAGUUCAUUCAUCAUUAGUUCAUUCAUGGUCGUCUGCGGUAUGUCCCGUGUGUCUAUGCUUUGUGUCUAAACUAACAGGUUGCAGGGUUCUUUGUCGACGGGAGCGAGUGUUAAAGCCAGACUCUUAAUUAACUGAGCGAUCUUUAAAGCCCAUCAAACCCUUGAAGGGUGGUAUUAACGACAUCACCACCUGUGCGUCAGCGCUGUAAACACGCUCUAACUGCGGGGGAAACGUGACCAAUUACACGGGCUCGUUUUUAUCUGUUCCACCACAGCCCGGCGCCACCCCCCCCCCCGUAUGUUUGGCCGGUGAACAGUCAUUGUUUGUGACGGGGGGUGAUUUCAGGACAACAGAUCCGGAGCGUGUAAAGGCGGUCGGUGGCAGAGCUCAACAUUCAGUCCAACAUUACCUUCAAAAUAAAAGUCCCCCGGUGUUUCCUCCUGAUCCUUUGGUAAAUAACAGGAUGUGUGCGCUACAGCAUGGGGCACACACACACAUACAGGCGGACCUAAUAAAGUGUGGCUACGUGUGCGUGGACCAACAGCCCCCCGGUGGGCCGAUAAUAACGAGGGGCGGCUCAGCCCGGAGGGGGUGUGUGUGUGUGUGUGUCCACUCAGGUGUCAGUCUAGUAUUACAGGUAAGUGCACACACACACACACACACACACACACCAACACCAACAAUUGCCUUUCACAACACAUCACAUCACAACGCUAUUGCAGCAGGUCUGUCUGUAUUCCCUUCCUUCAUGGCCAAUAAGAAGCGAUUGAAAUACAAUCCAGAGCAUGAGCAAGAGAAGACAUGCUGUCUGAGUCAUAGUGAGCAUCAGCCUGGAGCCAGGCCUGGAGCCAGCCCUGAGACCGACUGAGGCCUGGAGCCAGCCCUGAGACCGACUGAGGUCUGGAGCCAGGCCUGGAGCCAGCCCUGAGACCGACUGAGGCCUGGAGCCAGCCCUGAGACCGACUGAGGUCUGGAGCCAGCCCUGAGACCGACUGAGGCCUGGAGCCAGGCCUGGAGCCAGCCCUGAGACCGACUGAGGCCUGGAGCCAGGCC
ensembl:lncRNA